rnacentral:rRNA from 1 species
UACGGGGGGGGCAAGCGUUGUUCGGAAUUACUGGGCGUAAAGGGCUCGUAGGUGGCCAACUAAGUCAGACGUGAAAUCCCCCGGCUUAACCGGGGAACUGCGUCUGAUACUGGAUGGCCUGAGUUUGGGAGAGGGAUGCGGAAUUCCAGGUGUAGCGGUGAAAUGCGUAGAUAUCUGGAGGAACACCGGUGGCGAAGGCGGCAUCCUGGACCAACACUGACACUGAAAAGCGAAAGCCAGGGGAGCAAACGGG